rnacentral:rRNA from 1 species
GAUCACUGGCUCAGGAUGAACGCUAGCGGCAGGCUUAACACAUGCAAGUCGAGGGGCAGCAUAAUGGAUAGCAAUAUCUAUGGUGGCGACCGGCGCACGGGUGCGUAACGCGUAUGCAACCUACCUUUAACAGGGGGAUAACACUGAGAAAUUGGUACUAAUACCCCAUAAUAUCAUAGAAGGCAUCUUUUAUGGUUGAAAAUUCCGAUGGUUAGAGAUGGGCAUGCGUUGUA